ensembl:lncRNA
AUGUAUGGCGGAACGAAGGGGAAGGACCCGCUCCACAGUGGGACCGGUGUCUUCUACCAGGCAAUACCUGCCGUCGGGGCCGAUGGCAGAAACAUCAUGAAACUGAUUCCUGUACAAAUGGUCAAUGGACACGUUUUCAAAUCUCAAAUAAGCCCCCUCAAAACCGAUGCUACACAACCAAAAGCGUUAUCGUGGAAUAUCGCCUCAGCACCAGUUGUCUUAGUAAACAAGACUUCUUCAGUUUCUUCUGCAACAGAGCGGAUCGUCAGCGAACAGGUUUCACUCGUGGGUUCGUCCCCUUAUGAAGUCGGUUUGGAUCCUGGUAAUUCACCCAACAAGCAUCCACGACAGCAACUACAACAGAGUGUCAAAACGUUGGCAGUUGUUCCUUCAAAGGCUUCACCUGCACACAGUGGAAACUCCGUAGGACCUCCAAGUCAGCUCCCAGUCCCAGUGCAUUCUCCAGCAGCCCCCCGAAGCCGGGGCACUGAGGUUCUCCCUACAGUCCCUGCAUCAACACUGCCUGCAGGUAUCUGGAAACAGACAUUCACUUCGUCAGCCAGCUGCUGUCCAGGUUCACACUUACCCUCGUCACCAACCACAAGUACGGAUGGAGGCGUUACUCCACAAAGGGAUUCUGCACUCAAUGCGCUCAAGUUGCUUUGCAAAAUAACAAAUACGACAUCAUGCGCACCACCAUCAAAAGGAUCAAAAUCACAUUUCAAUUUAAUUCCAAAGGUUCCACAAAGCCCCAACAGCCCUAAAAAGUGGUCCAUUGAAGAUAACAGCUCAACAGCUCCAACCCUUAAUCCUUUUUAUUCGUCUGUUACUUCAAAGAUUUUGCGAGUUCUCGCAGAGAGAGGAAAUGCUGGGAAGCCCUGUGAAAUUCUUCCAAAACCAGGUCCAACUCUUGGUUCUACAAAUCCCUCCUUUGCCUCAGAGAUUCUUCGAGAAAGAGAAAAGGCCAGAAAGGACUCUGAAGUCAUCACUAAAUCUAUUACUGAGUCAGGUCCGGGGAACAGUGGAGAAGAAAAGGCCAACGUCAUAGACCCGUGCAACAGGAAGCAACCACCACAACAGAGUGUACAUUUAAUGGCCGUAACACCCUUAGCUAACGGGGGAAAUACUGGACCUCUGAAUGAUCGUCAUGUCGCUCUGACAUCUCCAACGCCCCCCAGAGGACAGUGGCCUCACACUACCCCUAAGGCACAAUUGUGGGCACUCCCAGCAUCUGAACGGCGUGCAGCUAUAAAGAAACCGACUUUUACUCCGUCAGCCACCUCCUGUCCAAGCUCAGCAUGUGCGGUCUCCAUGCCACUUAUCGCAAGUGUCAAUCAAGGUGCUCCAAGGGAUUCUGCACUUGAUACGUCUAAGUGGCUGUGCAAGACCGCAAAUAAAACAUCAACCGGUUCAGAACCAAAUUUAAAAUUAGUUCCAACGGUUCCACAAAGCCCCAACAGCCCUAUACAGUGGUCAGUUGAAGAAGGCAACUCGACAGCUCCAACUCUUGAUCCUUUUGAUUCUUCUGUGGCGUCAGAGAUUCCUCCAGUGGCUGCCGAGAGAGAGAACGCUGGGAAGCUCUGUGAGGUCGUUGGGAACUGGGUCUGCGGGUCGAGUCAGGGCAAAAACGGACAAAGACAGGAGAACCCUUUGGUAUUGUGUGAUGGAAAGCUUUUUUUUUGGGCCAAAAAUCACAUGCUGCCACAUAAAAAUGGAAAAAUGGAUCCAACCAUAGUAGCAGGAAAAAGUUACGAAUCAGACAAAGCCAUUGUAGCUUCAACCCAACAGUCAGUUCCACCUGUGGAGAAGCCGGGCCAUGGAGUCCUCCACCCAGAUCCGUGGCGCCAAGUGAUUGACCUUUGUGACGACGACGACGCUGCUCCGAACGACUCGUUUCAACAAGCAGCUUCAGUUUGUGUGCCAGCAGUCACUGUUGUGGAUGAAGACAAUGUUAUAUUUGUAUCCUACACUCCACCCAACUCUGACUCUCAAGAUUUGAGACGAAAAUUACAAAUGGCUCAAAUAGAGGAACCGGACCAGACGGCCACAAGCAAUGUAACCGAACAAGAGCGCAUGCACGGUACGCCCGGCGCUCUCAGAGAGGAGGAACUUGGCCACAGCACGUCGGUCAACGACAGCCAGCAGCCCACCUCAGCCCAACAGAUGGAGCAUGUUAACCCCAGCAACGAGGGAACCCGCUCCAGGACGGACCGAGACCCCCACAUCAUUGAGAGCUCUACGACCUGUGGAACAUCUGGACUGGUACCAGAAUCCUGUCGAAGGACCGAUGAUCUGCUGAGACGGAUUUCUGGGAUAACCGCCGAUGUGAGAAUUUGUCUCCAGAGGAUAGACGAAGCCUCAGCCGCGUCUCUUCCUGCGGAACCUCCAACGACACCUUUACAGCCAACGAGGAACUGA